CGCUCUUGUUGCUCAGGCUGGAGUGCAAUGGUGUGAUCUCGGCUCACUGCAACCUCCGCCUCCCGGGUUCAAGCGAUUCUCCUGCCUCAGCCUCUCGAGUAGCUGAGAUUACAGGCAUGAUCCAUUGCUCCCAGCCACCCAUGUAUUCCUGAUUGAAAAAAUUUGCUUAUGUCUUAGUUCUACAGCUGACCCUCUUUCGCUAUUUUCAAGAGUAUUGCCCGGGCUGUGAGUGCAGUCUCAUGAUCUUGGGUCACUGCAACCUCUGUUUCCUGGGUUCAAGUGAUUCUUGUGCCUCAGCAUCCCACGUAGCUGAGAUUACA
rnacentral:lncRNA from 10 species